AACCUGCCCUUCAGAGGGGGACAACAGUUGGAAACGACUGCUAAUACCGCAUACGAUCCAAUCUCGGCAUCGAGGAUGGAUGAAAGGUGGCCUCUAUUUAUAAGCUAUCACUGAAGGAGGGGAUUGCGUCUGAUUAGCUAGUUGGAGGGGUAACGGCCCACCAAAGCGACGAUCAGUAGCCGACCUGAGAGGGUGACCGGCCACAUUGGGACUGAGACACGGCCCAA
rnacentral:rRNA from 1 species